UACGAGGGGGGCAAGCGUUGUUCGGAAUUAUUGGGCGUAAAGGGCGCGUAGGCGGUGCGGUAAGUCACCUGUGAAAACUCUGGGCUCAACUCAGAGCCUGCAGGCGAAACUGCCGUGCUUGAGUGUGGGAGAGGUGCGUGGAAUUCCCGGUGUAGCGGUGAAAUGCGUAGAUAUCUGGAGGAACACCGGUGGCGAAGGCGGCGUCCUGGACCAACACUGACACUGAGGAGCGAAAGCGUGGGGAGCGAACAGG
rnacentral:rRNA from 1 species